UACGGGGGGGGCAAGCGUUGUUCGGAAUUACUGGGCGUAAAGGGUCUGAAGGUGGCCACUUAAGUCAGACGUGAAAUCCCUCAGCUUAACUGGGGAACUGCGUCUGAGACUGGAUGGCUCGAGUGCAGGAGAGGAAUGCGGAAUUCCAGGUGUAGCGGUGAAAUGCGUAGAUAUCUGGAGGAACACCGGUGGCGAAGGCGGCAUUCUGGACUGCAACUGACACUGAAAGACGAAAGCCAGGGGAGCAAACGGG
rnacentral:rRNA from 1 species